rnacentral:rRNA from 1 species
GACGAACGCUGGCGGCGUGCUUAACACAUGCCAGUCGAACGGAAAGGCCCUGCUUUUGUGGGGUGCUCGAGUGGCGAACGGGUGAGUAACACGUGAGUAACCUGCCCUUGACUUUGGGAUAACUUCAGGAAACUGGGGCUAAUACCAGAUAGGAGCUCCUGCUGCAUGGUGGGGGUUGGAAAGUUUCGGCGGUUGGGGAUGGACUCGCGGCCUAUCAGCUUGUUGGUGGGGUAGUGGCUUACCAAGGCUUUGACGGGUAGCCGGCCUGAGAGGGUGACCGGCCACAUUGGGACUGAGAUACGGCCCAGACUCCUACGGGAGGCAGCAGUGGGGAAUAUUGCACAAUGGGCGGAAGCCUGAUGCAGCAACGCCGCGUGCGGGAUGACGGCCUUCGGGUUGUAAACCGCUUUCGCCUGUGACGAGGCGUGAGUGACGGUAAUGGGUAAAGAAGCACCGGCUAACUACGUG